AUUGAACGCUGGCGGCAUGCCUUACACAUGCAAGUCGAACGGUAACGGGCCUUCGGGUGCCGACGAGUGGCGAACGGGUGAGUAAUACAUCGGAACGUGCCCGAUCGUGGGGGAUAACGAGGCGAAAGCUUUGCUAAUACCGCAUACGAUCUACGGAUUAAAGCCGGGGACCGCAAGGCCUUGCGCGGACGGAGCGGCCGAUGGCAGAUUAGGUAGUUGGUGGGAUAAAAGCUUACCAAGCCGACGAUCUGUAGCUGGUCUGAGAGGAUGAUCAGCCACACUGGGACUGAGACACGGCCCAGACUCCUACGGGAGGCAGCAGUGGGGAAUUUUGGACAAUGGGCGCAAGCCUGAUCCAGCCAUGCCGCGUGCAGGAUGAAGGCCUUCGGGUUGUAAACUGCUUUUGUACGGAACGAAAAGCCUUCUUUUAAUACAGGAGGGUCAUGACGGUACCGUAAGAAUAAGCACCGGCUAACUACGUG
rnacentral:rRNA from 1 species